CGGCAGCUACACAUGCAGUCGAGGGGUAACAGGGGGAGAGCUUGCUCUUUCGCUGACGACCGGCGCACGGGUGCGUAACGCGUAUACAACCUACCUUUUGGAGGGGAAUAGCCCAGGGAAACUUGGAUUAAUGCCCCAUAGUAUGGGAAUAUCUCCUGAUAUUUUCAUUAAACAUUUAUGGCCAUUAGAUGGGUAUGCGUCCUAUUAGUUAGUUGGUAAGGUAACGGCUUACCAAGGCAGCGAUAGGUAGGGGUCCUGAGAGGGAGAUCCCCCACACUGGUACUGAGACACGGACCAGACUCCUACGGGAGGCAGCAGUGAGGAAUAUUGGACAAUGGGCGAGAGCCUGAUCCAGCCAUGCCGCGUGCAGGAAGACUGCCCUAUGGGUUGUAAACUGCUUUUACAGAGGAAGAACCACUCCCACGUGUGGGGGUUUGACGGUACUCUGCGAAUAAGGAUCGGCUAACUCCGUGCCAGCAGCCGCGGUAAUACGGAGGAUCCAAGCGUUAUCCGGAAUCAUUGGGUUUAAAGGGUCCGUAGGCGGGCAGUUAAGUCAGUGGUGAAAGUCUUCCGCUCAACGGGAGAACUGCCAUUGAUACUGAUUGUCUUGAGUAAUAAUGAAGUGGUUAGAAUGAGUAGUGUGUAGCGGGGAAAUGCAUAGAUAUUACUCAGAAUACCGAUUGCGAAGGCAGAUCACUAAAUAAAUAUACUGACGCUGAUGGACGAAAGCGUAGGUAGCGAACAGGAUUAGAUACCCUGGUAGUCUACGCCGUAAACGAUGGUUACUAGCUGUUCGGCCCGAUUAAGGGCUGAGUGGUUAAGCGAAAGUGAUAAGUAACCCACCUGGGGAGUACGUUCGCAAGAAUGAAACUCAAAGGAAUUGACGGGGGCCCGCACAAGCGGUGGAGCAUGUGGUUUAAUUCGAUGAUACGCGAGGAACCUUACCAGGGCUUAAAUGUAGUCUGACAGGGCUGGAAACAGCUUUUUCUUCGGACAGAUUACAAGGUGCUGCAUGGUUGUCGUCAGCUCGUGCCGUGAGGUGUCAGGUUAAGUCCUAUAACGAGCGCAACCCCUGUGGUUAGUUGCCAGCGAGUAAUGUCGGGAACUCUAGCCAGACUGCCGGUGCAAACCGUGAGGAAGGUGGGGAUGACGUCAAAUCAUCACGGCCCUUACGUCCUGGGCCACACACGUGCUACAAUGGUAGGGACAGAGAGCAGCCACUUCGCGAGAAGGAGCGAAUCUACAAACCCUAUCACAGUUCGGAUCGCAGUCUGCAACUCGACUGCGUGAAGCUGGAAUCGCUAGUAAUCGCAUAUCAGCCAUGAUGCGGUGAAUACGUUCCCGGGCCUUGUACACACCGCCCGUCAAGCCAUGGAAGCCGGGGGUACCUGAAGUCGGUCACCGCAAGGAGCCGCCUAGG
rnacentral:rRNA from 1 species